GCAGGGCAUACAUGUACUGAAGGUUCAUAAAAAAACUUUUUGCAGAUAUCUCUCAAGACUUUUCCUAGAAAAUAGAAAUGGCAAUGCCGUAAAAAUCGCUUGCUAGGUCCGUCAAUCUCAGUAAAAACCUACAAUAAAAUGUCCGCUCCGAGAUUGAAAUACUAAUCUGUGUUUCAAACAGGUGCUGAAAAAUGGACAUUAUCAAAAAAUAAUCAUUAAAUGUGUUUUAAAGUUACACCGGAUCGAUUAAAUCCAAAACAUGCACUGCUGGAGAACUGUGAUCAAAAUGUCAAUUUUCUACAAUGACAAAAGAAAUUACAUUGUGUACAUUCCAUCUCUAGACAUGUUGUCUGUUCAAGGUCCCGACCUAAAAAGAAAUUAUAAGUUUUUCUUAAUAUAAACCCGCGUCACGUGAUGUCUCCUCAAUAUUGCGCGCGCGCUGUAUCUAAAAUAAAAGAAAAACUUUCCAAACUAAACAUGAAACUUCUCCGGUAACAUAAUAAUAUAGACCCUUUACAAAAACAAACAAACAAACAAAUACCCCCCCCACCUUUUUCCAAAUCAAUCAAUAAAAAAACCCAAUUAUCCAUUCAUCAGAGGGGAAAGACUGCCUAACAAUUGUUUUCAAAACAAUUGCUUUAUAUUUAUUAUUAUUAUUAUUUUUUUUUUUUUCCGCCAACUUUUGUUCUUGCGAUAAAUGUUUGUUUCGCAAUAUGUCGCUUAGAUAUUUCUCAUAUUGUAUCGUAUAGUUCAUGGCGCUUUUAAAUUUACCCUG
rnacentral:lncRNA from 1 species